CCGGACCUAGCUGGCUUUACCCACAACAACCGACGUUCAUGGCGCUCCGUGACAAAAUUCACGUCGCAUUACAAGAAUACAAUUUUUUUUUUUUAACAAGAAUACAAUUACUACCCUAAGGGGGUGUUAUUAGUUGUUUAAGUUAAAUUCAACUCCGUUAGAUUUUAAAAUUCAUAAGAUUUUCAAAAUCUGGGUUCAUUGAGACUGAUUUACUAUUCAUUCUUUAAAUCAGUGGAAGUGUAUUUACACUGACACAUGAUAUCUUUUGGUUUUGAACAAUAUAAUUGAAUUCUAUAACAAAUGAUUUUACAAUUUUCAAUGAAAUUAUACCAAACUUUUACCAUCACGUAUUUUUUUCCCAUUUCAAAUUUCUGUAUUGAAGUCUUAACAUAUCUUUUAAAGAUGAAAGUUUUUUUUUUUUUUUUUUUGUUAAAGUGAUCAAAUGAAUCAUACAACAACUGUUAAAACAAUAUACACAUUAACUAGUGAUAAAAAAAAAGACUGGGAAAAAAAUGAUAAAGAGAGAUACAUAUGUGUUGGGUCAUGGGUGAAUGAGUUUGCAAAUAUUGAUAACGUACGUGUAUUACGUUAAAUGAAACUUUUAUUAAUUUAUUAGAUUGUCAAAUCUCAUGUUAGAAGGUUGGUUUUGGGAUUGACAUAAUUUACACAUGAAAUCAGUUUCAGAUUCACUCAAAGCUUUUCAAAUGAAAUCAUUUGUGAAAAUCCACCAAACUUGAAUAACAUAAGACUUUAGUUAAUAAUUGUAAGUAUAAGAACCAAUAACACUAGAUUUUAAACUCUUUUAAUGAAGAUUUUGCAAAUAUAAGAACCAAUAACACUAGAUUUUAAACUCUUUUAAUGAAGAUUUUGCAAAUAUAAGAACCAAUAACACUUGAUUUGAGUAAAGUAUUUAAAAUCAUUGAUUAAAUAACAUUAGACUUGGGUUAGAGUUAGACUCUAUUAAAAUCCAUUAUCCAAUAACACCCACUAAAUCUAUCUAUUUCUUACAAGAACCCUAAAAUUAAAAUAAAACCCUAAAUCCUUAUAUACUGAUACGUAGAAGAAGAUCAAGAAGUAUUGCGUCAAUCUCAGGAAAAAGGUAUUAGAUCGC
rnacentral:lncRNA from 1 species